rnacentral:rRNA from 1 species
UACGAAGGGGGCUAGCGUUGCUCGGAAUUACUGGGCGUAAAGCGCCCGUAGGCGGAUUUGUAAGUCAGGGGUGAAAUCCCGGGGCUCAACCUCGGAACUGCCUUUGAUACUGCAAAUCUCGAGUCCGGAAGAGGUGAGUGGAAUUCCUAGUGUAGAGGUGAAAUUCGUAGAUAUUCGGAAGAACACCAGUGGCGAAGGCGACUCGCUGGACAAGUAUUGACGCUGAGGUGCGAAAGCGUGGGGAGCAAACAGG